AACGAACGCUGGCGGCAUGCCUAACACAUGCAAGUCGAACGAUCCCUUCGGGGAUAGUGGCGCACGGGUGCGUAACGCGUGGGAAUCUGCCCUUGGGUUCGGAAUAACAGUUAGAAAUGACUGCUAAUACCGGAUGAAGUCUUCGGACCAAAGAUUUAUCGCCCAGGGAUGAGCCCGCGUAGGAUUAGGUAGUUGGUGAGGUAAAGGCUCACCAAGCCGACGAUCCUUAGCUGGUCUGAGAGGAUGAUCAGCCACACUGGGACUGAGACACGGCCCAGACUCCUACGGGAGGCAGCAGUGGGGAAUAUUGGACAAUGGGCGCAAGCCUGAUCCAGCAAUGCCGCGUGAGUGAUGAAGGCCUUCGGGUCGUAAAGCUCUUUUACCCGGGAUGAUAAUGACAGUACCGGGAGAAUAAGCUCCGGCUAACUCCGUGCCAGCCGCCGCCGUAA
rnacentral:rRNA from 1 species